rnacentral:rRNA from 1 species
UACGUAGGGACCAAGCGUUGUUCGGAUUUACUGGGCGUAAAGGGCGCGUAGGCGGCAUGACAAGUCACUUGUGAAAUCUCUGGGCUUAACCCAGAACGGCCAAGUGAUACUGUCGCGCUAGAGUGCAGAAGGGGCAAUCGGAAUUCUCGGUGUAGCGGUGAAAUGCGUAGAUAUCGAGAGGAACACCAGAGGUGAAGACGGGUUGCUGGGCUGACACUGACGCUGGAGGCGCGAAAGCCAGGGGAGCAAACGGG